UCCAUCAGCAGGCUGUGCUUGCAGAUGUCCUGGGGCCUCUCUGGAGACUUCCCAAACCCUGUGGAUUUACAGUAAGAUGCAGUUUCCUGGGGAG
rnacentral:lncRNA from 1 species